GAAGUCUGGCAUUUCAUAAUCACCCAUCAUGAUUGACAUGGGCUGACACACAUGGCGCUGUCAGGAUACACAAGGACAAUAGCCAAAGAGUUACAAAAAAUAAAUCCAUGAUUCUUAAACAAUUGCAACCAAAAAAAAAAAAAUUAACAUCUCCUGGUUUUGCAGGUAUUUUUUUAAAGUGCAAAAUGUCUUUCUCAAUAUUGAAAAUCCAUUUGAGUACAUGGACAAUUUCACAUACCCAUGUAGAUUUGAGAAUAUCUAAUUUAGAGGGUAAAUAAAAAAUCAGAAUACAGUUUGCAAAACCAUUGUUUGCUUCAUGCAGGAAAUUCAUUAUGCAAAACAUUGCUAUAUAUGAUUCUGAUUACAGGUAAAGACAGAGAAUGUCUUCUAAAAUUGUGAUAUAGUGAAAGAAGCCAAGGGAAAAGGCAGGCAGUAAAAAUUGCUCCAGUUGGAAUUAGAUAUUCUGGACAAUACCACUAAAAAGGCAAGGUAGUUCAGGUUAGCCAAAUUUAAUUGAUAAUUCUUCUCAUUUUAUAUCUAGGGUCAGGCAUGGAUAUUGCAUUCUGCCAUCCUUUAUUAUAUAUAUGUUAAUCACAGUAACAAUUUUCAUUCAGUUUUCUUAGAAUCCUUUUUUUUCUUCUUGCUAGUUGAAAUACAGAAUUCAUAUAGUAUACUAUUCAUCUCCUCUCUUCAUGGGGAGGACCCAAAUAUUAUUUAUCACACCAAAUAAUUGAGUAAAACCAAGGCCCAUCUGGGAAAUUUCCAGUGUUUAAGGGCAAGUAGAAAAGGUACAUGGACAGCCGGGCGCAGUGGCUGACGCCGAGGCAGGUGGAUCACGAGGUCAAGAGAUCGAGACCAUCCUGGCAAACAUGGUGAAACCCUGUCUCUACUAAAUACAAAAAAUUAGCCAGGCAUGGUGGCACGUGUCUGUAAUCCCAGGUAUUUGGGAGGCUGAGAUAGGAGAAUUAUUUGAACCCAGGAGGCGGAGGUUGUGGUGAGCUGAGAAUGCAAAUGCGCCAUUGCACUCCAGCCUGGGCAAUAAGAGCGAGACUCCAUCUCAAGAAAAAAAAAAAAAAGAAAGAAAAAGAAAAGGUACAUGGAGUACAUGAAAUAAUAUAAUUUGAGAAUACAAAGGGCAAAUCAUUUUUAAAUGGAGACCAAGUCCUCACU
rnacentral:lncRNA from 1 species